GAUGAACGCUAGCGGCAGGCUUAAUACAUGCAAGUCGUGGGGCAGCAGGUCUGUAGCAAUACAGAUGCUGGCGACCGGCAAACGGGUGCGGAACACGUACACAACUUUCCUUUAAGUGGGGAAUAGCCCAGAGAAAUUUGGAUUAAUACCCCGUAACAUAGUGAAAAGGCAUCUUUUUAUUAUUAUAGCAGCAAUGCGCUUAAUGAUGGGUGUGCGUCUGAUUAGGUAGUUGGCGGAGUAAUAGCCCACCAAGCCUACGAUCAGUAACUGGUGUGAGAGCACGACCAGUCACACGGGCACUGAGACACGGGCCCGACUCCUACGGGAGGCAGCAGUAAGGAAUAUUGGGCAAUGGACGCAAGUCUGACCCAGCCAUGCCGCGUGGAGGAUGAAGGUCCUCUGGAUUGUAAACUUCUUUUAUCUGGGAAGAAAUCCAUCUUUUCUUGAGUGGUUGACGGUACCAGAUGAAUAAGCACCGGCUAACUCCGUGCCAGCAGCCGCCGUAAGAC
rnacentral:rRNA from 1 species